ensembl:antisense Bach2os BTB and CNC homology 2, opposite strand
GUGUUCUUUAAGAGGUCAAGGGUAUGGCUAGUCUGCCCUGAAUCUGGGAGUUAUCUGUUGGUUGCAUCAGAUAGUCAUGAGGCUCAGUCCUGGUAUUUGUGCCCAGUUGAUCACCAUGCACAAAGGCUGAAUGACUCCUCACCCUGUAACAUAGCCUUCAGUUCUAAGGUGGAGAUUGACAGAGCCCAAUCAGAAAAAACAAAACAAAACAAAAAUAAACAACAACAACAA